UUACGGGAGGCAGCAGUGAGGAAUAUUGGUCAAUGGUCGCAAGACUGAACCAGCCAUGCCGCGUGCAGGAAGACGGUCCCAUGGAUUGUAAACUGCUUUUAUACAGGAAGAAACCCUCCCACGUGUGGGAGCUUGACGGUACUGUAGGAAUAAGGAUCGGCUAAUUCCGUGCCAGCAGCCGCGGUAAUA
rnacentral:rRNA from 1 species